UGGAAUUUCAUCAUUAACUGGAAAAAUGACAAUGUAGAAAGGUAUUGCUAUGGAUUUAUGAAGACCAUCACUGAUUGAUACUAUGAAGCCAUCAGAGGUGUAGGAAGAAUAUUCUCCAGGUAACCAUACACAGGAUUUGUCUCCAAGAAGAAAGUUAGCUCCUCAGGUUUUGAAUCUUCAUCUGAUGCAUCCAGGUAUUUUAAAGUGAUACGUGCUGAAGAGCCUUCUUCCACUACAAACAGCUCUCCUUGAGAUAUUUUGUCUGGAAAUUCAGAAGCUAUAUGUGGAAGCUUAUGUGAUCUGGAGUCCCAUAAAUGUCCAUGAAUAAGGCCAGAUGAAUGUACAAUGAAAGACUUGUCUGAAGCAACAUACCUUGGACUGUGAGCCAACCAUGAUUUAAGCCUUCCACCACAAGUAGCUGAACACCAUGAAGAUUGUCAUUAUCUACAAUCUGAAGCGAUUCCCAGGUAAUUGGAUGAGACUGUCCUUCUAACAAGUCAAGUCCUAUAAACAGGCAUUUUAAACACAAUGGAGUGACAUGGUUCAUAGUAAAAACUAUGGAACAAGUUAAGUAUUCAAGACACUUUGGACUUAGACCUCAAUCAAACUGUUAGACCUAACUAGAAAAAGCCUACUGAAUCAGUGGUCAGUCAGUACUUAUGUAAGUACCACUAAUACAGUGUAUCUACUUUUGUUAGGACUGACAAUUGGCUUUAGAACUUAUUUUUUAUGGAAAGUUGCAAAUGAACCUGUAUUACCAGCAGA